GCACUCUGAGGUUUGCCCCUUUGGCCUCAGCACUUCCAAUCCAGCAGGAUAAUUACUGAAGCUGCAACGCGCAUUCCCCCUGGGUGGAAGUGGCAAUAUGGGGGUCUCUGGUGUCAACUGAGAAAUGAGAUGCAACGAGCAUUUUGGAGCCCAGGCGUAUCGAGCCAGCCCUGCAGAAUUCAUAUGUCCGCGUUUUCCCUUCCAACAGGACUGCGGUAACCCGUGUAAACAGAGGUACGUGUGAAGACAGCCAGACGCAAAGUAAUUGUGUUUCAGCUGAGGACAUCUCUGCAAAUUCACUGGACUCUCUUAUUUCCCCCCCUGUUAGCAGCCUAAUAAAUGUUUGCAUCGUCCGACUAUAGUUAGCUAUAUAUAUACUGCUGCUUUGGGACUGAACCACAAUGAGACUCAUCAAGUGAGGCAAAGGACACAUCCGCCACCAGUCAGUGCUUUAGUUCAUUAGUGAGCAUCUUUAUGCUGUGUGCACACACAAGUGAGGCCCUUAAUACAAAAUGCAAACAGUAUGCA
rnacentral:lncRNA from 1 species